GCUGCACCCCGUGAACAAUAUUGUUAACAAGUUGUUCCGAGUUGUUCAAUCAUCAAUAUUGUUGCAAGUUGAUAACAUGAUUGUCAACACGUUGCAACAACGUUGAUGGUUCAACAACAUUGUUAACAAUAUUGUUUACGGGGUGCAGC